CUGUCGGUGUUAACUGGCAUGUUCUGUGGAACGUCCUGCCGGUGGCGGUCCGGGCUCUCGUUCUGCGUAAGGGUCUCCCGAAGCAGGGCGAAAAGUUCCGGCCGCCGGUUCAAUCCCGCCACGGUGCUCUUCACCGAGUGUCGAGGUGGGCCGGCACUUUUACUUUGAACAAAUUAGAGUGCUUAAAGCAGGCGGUUUCCGCCUGAAUACUGUGUGCAUGGAAUAAUGGAAUAGGACCUCGGUUCUAUUUUGUUGGUUUUCAGAACCCGAGGUAAUGAUUAAUAGGGACAGGCGGGGGCAUUCGUAUUGCGACGUUAGAGGUGAAAUUCUUGGAUCGUCGCAAGACGAACCUAAGCGAAAGCAUUUGCCAAGUAUGUUCUCGUUAAUCAAGAACGAAAGUUAGAGGUUCGAAGGCGAUCAGAUACCGCCCUAGUUCUAACCAUAAACGAUGCCAGCCAGCGAUCCGCCGAAGUUCCUCCGAUGACUCGGCGGGCAGCUUCCGGGAAACCAAAGCUUUUGGGUUCCGGGGGAAGUAUGGUUGCAAAGCUGAAACUUAAAGGAAUUGACGGAAGGGCACCACCAGGAGUGGAGCCUGCGGCUUAAUUUGACUCAACACGGGAAACCUCACCAGGCCCGGACACCGGAAGGAUUGACAGAUUGAGAGCUCUUUCUUGAUUCGGUGGGUGGUGGUGCAUGGCCGUUCUUAGUUGGUGGAGCGAUUUGUCUGGUUAAUUCCGAUAACGAACGAGACUCUAGCCUGUUAACUAGGCGAUUUCCGGUACCCACAAUAUGUUACCGGCGAUUCAAUUUCUUCUUAGAGGGACAGGCGGCUUCUAGCCGCACGAGACUGAGCAAUAACAGGUCUGUAAUGCCCUUAGAUGUUCUGGGCCGCACGCGCGCUACACUGAAGGAAUCAGCGUGUCUUCCCUGGCCGACAGGCCCGGGUAACCCGUUGAACCUCCUUCGUGCUAGGGAUUGGGGCUUGCAAUUGUUCCCCAUGAACGAGGAAUUCCCAGUAAGCGCGAGUCAUAAGCUCGCGUUGAUUACGUCCCUGCCCUUUGUACACACCGCCCGUCGCUACUACCGAUUGAAUGAUUUAGUGAGGUCUUCGGACUGGUGCGCGGCUGUCGGUUUCCGGCAGCCGAUGUUGCCGGAA
rnacentral:rRNA from 1 species